rnacentral:miRNA from 1 species
UGAUAUGUUUGAUAUAUUAGAUUG